CCUACGGGCGGCACCAGUGGGGAAUAUUGGACAAUGGGGGCAACCCUGAUCCAGCGAUGCCGCGUGAGUGAAGAAGGCCUUCGGGUUGUAAAACUCUUUCACCUGUGAAGAUAAUGACGGUAGCAGGAGAAGAAGCACCGGCAAACUCUGUGCCAGCAGCCGCGGUAAGACAGAGGGUGCUAGCGUUGUUCGGAAUGACUGGGCGUAAAGGGCGCGUAGGCGGUUUUUCAAGUCAGAUGUGAAAGCCCCGGGCUUAACCUGGGAACUGCAUUUGAUACUGGAUGACUGGAGUACGAGAGAGGAAAGUGGAAUUCCUAGUGUAGAGGUGAAAUUCGUAGAUAUUAGGAGGAACACCAGAGGCGAAGGCGGCUUUCUGGCUCGUAACUGACGCUGAGGCGCGAAAGCGUGGGGAGCAAACAGGAUUAGAUACCCUCGUAGUC
rnacentral:rRNA from 1 species